AUUGAACGCUGGCGGCAUGCCUUACACAUGCAAGUCGAACGGUAACGCGGGGCAACCUGGCGACGAGUGGCGAACGGGUGAGUAAUGUAUCGGAACGUGCCCAGUUGUGGGGGAUAACUGCUCGAAAGAGCAGCUAAUACCGCAUACGACUGAGGGUGAAAGCGGGGGAUCGCAAGGCCUCGCGCAAUUGGAGCGGGCGGUAUCAGAUUAGGUAGUUGGUGGGGUAAAGGCCCACCAAGCCAACGAUCUGUAGCUGGUCUGAGAGGACGACCAGCCACACUGGGACUGAGACACGGCCCAGACUCCUACGGGAGGCAGCAGUGGGGAAUUUUGGACAAUGGACGCAAGUCUGAUCCAGCCAUGCCGCGUGCGGGAAGAAGGCCUUCGGGUUGUAAACCGCUUUUGUCAGGGAAGAAACGCUCUGGGUUAAUACCUCGGGGUAAUGACGGUACCUGAAGAAUAAGCACCGGCUAACUACGUGCCAGCAGCCGCCGUAACAC
rnacentral:rRNA from 1 species